CAGCCGCCACGGGAAUACGAAGGGGGCUAGCGUUGUUCGGAUUUACUGGGCGUAAAGCGCACGUAGGCGGAUCGAUCAGUCAGGGGUGAAAUCCCAGAGCUCAACUCUGGAACUGCCUUUGAUACUGUCGAACUGGAGUAUGGAAGAGGUGAGUGGAAUUCCGAGUGUAGAGGUGAAAUUCGUAGAUAUUCGGAGGAACACCAGUGGCGAAGGCGGCUCACUGGUCCAUUACUGACGCUGAGGUGCGAAAGCGUGGGGAGCAAACAGGAUUAGAGACCCCCGUAGUCCCUGUCUCUUAUAC
rnacentral:rRNA from 1 species